UACGUAGGGUGCGAGCGUUGUCCGGAAUCACUGGGCGUAAAGCGCGCGCAGGCGGCGAUCUACGUCUGGGGUGAAAGCCCGGAGCUCAACUCCGGGACUGCCUUGGAUACGGGAUCGCUUGAGGAUUGGAGAGGCAAGGGGAAUUCCACGUGUAGGCGGUGAAAUGCGUAGAUAUGUGGAGGAACACCUGUGGCGAAGGCGCCUUGCUGGCCAAUUUCUGACGCUGAGGCGCGAAAGCGUGGGGAGCAAACAGG
rnacentral:rRNA from 1 species